GCAUCAGUGGUGUAAUGGUAACAUGCGGGCUUCCCAUGCCCGCGCCUCGGGUUCGAUUCCCGGCUGAUGCA
rfam:Cylindrobasidium torrendii FP15055 ss-10 unplaced genomic scaffold CYLTOscaffold_352, whole genome shotgun sequence.